rnacentral:rRNA from 1 species
UCGGGAAUUUUGGGCAAUGGGCGAAAGCCUGACCCAGCAACGCCGCGUGAAGGAUGAAAUCCUUCGGGAUGUAAACUUCGCAAGAACAGGAAGAAUAAGUCGGUGUUAACACCACCGGCGAUGACGGUACUGUUUGUAAGCUCCGGCUAACUCCGUGCCAGCAGCCGCGGUAAUACGGGGGGAGCAAGCGUUGUUCGGAUUUACUGGGCGUAAAGGGCGCGUAGGCGGCCACCGCAAGUCGACUGUGAAAUCUCCGGGCUUAACCCGGAACGGUCAGCCGAUACUGCGGGGCUAGAGUGCAGAAGGGGCAACUGGAAUUCUCGGUGUAGCGGUGAAAUGCGUAGAUAUCGAGAGGAACACCUGCGGCGAAGGCGGGUUGCUGGGCUGACACUGACGCUGAGGCGCGAAAGCUAGGGGAGCGAACGGGAUUAGAUACCCCGGUAGUCCUAGCCUUAAACGAUGAAUGCUUGGUGUCUGGGGUUUUAUAGUCCCCGGGUGCCGUCGCUAACGCUUUAAGCAUUCCG